GAAAGGAAUUGUGUAUAAUUGGUUGUGUCUUUAGAACGAAGAGUUCCCCUUUAUAGUUUAUGUUGGAGAUGGUGGGAAUGAUUACUGCCCUGCUCUUAGAUUAGGAGAGAAGGAUAUUAUGUGUGUGAGGGAAGGAUUUUCUUUGCAUAAACAGAUUCUCAAGAAAGAACAAAACAAUGAACUUAAAAUGAGGUGCAAGCUGGAGUACUGGAAUUCUGGACUACAGAUUCUCUCAUCCUUACAGUCCAGGAUCAAGGAUGGAGUUCAGGGAUAGAUUAGAUACAUGUCUGGUUGUACCAGCGUUUCGGAUCCGGAUCCGGAUCCGGUCGGAUCUGUAUCAUUUGGUCGGAUCCGGAU